rnacentral:lncRNA from 1 species
UCCGCCUUCUCCUUUUCGCAAUGUUGACGCAAUCUAUAAAUAGUGGAACAAAAGGACCAACUUCCUCGCAGCUUUGCUGAAACNNNNNNNNNNNNNNNNNNNNNNNNNNNNNNNNNNNNNNNNNNUUUUUAUUUUCUCUUGCUGCCUCCUGUGCUGGCAACGUCCUGCGAGUGGCUAUUUUGCUUUUGCACCGAGAGAAGAGCUUCCUCCCUCGCCCUCUCUUCUGACACUUAUGGAUGAAAUCUACACUGAUGUCUAACCUGUAAUGAGUGCCAAUCCCCUGCUGUUAAAAAGAACAGCUACAAGUCCCUGCCUUCCUGAGUGGCACAACUGGUCACAGCCUGCUGAGCUCAUGGUUUAUGGGCUGAUGGCUGCUGUAAUCCAACAGCCACUGCCUCUCCCUGAUGAUGGAUUCAGCUGAACAGUGGGGUCAGCGAUAUCUGGCCACUGUGACAGCCACAGCUCCUGGAUCACCACAGGUCCUGCUGUGAGAUUCUUCUGCAGCUCUUCAGGGUCAACAUUAGGUCUGCCUCCAACUGUGAAUAUUUUCCUUUUAUCAUCUGCAAUAUUUACAAUUGCACUUUUCCAGACUGUUUAGGAACAGGUGGGCCAGCAAAGGUGCCAGUACAAACCAGUGUUAAAACUGCCCAUUGGUCUCUAUACUGCUCCUUAUCUUCUAACCCUUUAGUAAUCCACAAAGAAUUUUAAGUGACUCGCCACUUCAUUUUGUUAAUAGUUUUCAGUUACAGAACUUUUUAAAACUUUUGGGUCACUUUUUUCCUGUGCAUCUGGAAAUGACUCUUUCAAAUAACUACCAAAACUCUAAGACAAAACUACUUAUACAAAAGGCAUGAUGGUUGCUAUUACACCUAUCCAUGUUCCUAUAAACACAGUCACUGGCAUUUUGUCUGUCAUGGUAGCCUGACAUUUUAGUCCAUUAGUCCAUGACCAUUCCUAAAACCCUUUUCAAAACUAGGGUCACAUUUGUUACUUUCCAUUCCUCUGUUAUCAAGGCUAAUUUAUAUAUCAGAUUACACAAAAGAUUUCAUGGUUUGCUCACCAAUUUAAUUUCUGAAUUUUUAUAGGACUACUGAAUGAACAGCAUGUUAUUGGACAAUUUAUUAAUAUGUAUUCAAUCAAUUUGUUUAAAAACCUUUUAUUGAGGUAGUUCAAAUCUGAACUUCUCCCUAUAAAAAUAACUCCUAUUUGGGGACAUCCCUUAUCAUGCUGUCAUAAACCUUGCCAGCGCAAUGAGUUCAAUUUCUUUCAGUAAUGGCUUUGUCUUUCUCCUUAACCACAACUAUCUAAUAAACUCACUUCUCAUCUAGCA